rnacentral:rRNA from 1 species
GCCUUAAAAAAGCCCACAUUACUAAUUUUUUAUACUAAAUUAACUGAAAAACGGAUUGACCAUAAUUUAUGGUUGUUUAAACAAUAUAUUAACUUAUAUAAAAACAACUUUCAGCAAUGGAUCUCUCGGCUUUCGUAUCGAUGAAGAACGCAGCAAAUCGCGAUAUUUAAUGUGAUCUGCCUAUAGUGAAUCAUCAAAUCUUUGAACGCAUCUUGCACCCUAUGGUAUUCCGUAGGGUACAUCUGUUUCAGUACCAUUCAAACAUCUCCCUCACUCCUAUUUUUUUAUUAAAAGAGAGAAUGAGAUCAGAGAUAAAUUAUAAAUGGUCCUGGGUAAGCUGUGUAUCAAGUCUUUUGACUUUUUACCUGACGGAAUUUUAUCACUACCCGCCCUUAUAUCUUAGCGUAUAAGCUCGGUGCUAGGAGUUAAAAGCAUAGUAAAGAACCUAACUUGCCUUUGUCAGCCUCCUUCCUUUUAGGUUGGAGGACAUGAUGCGACUGUGGGACGCCCGAUUACCCUCGACUUAAAUAUCUGUUAAGGUAAAUUCUUGACUUAUCUUUGCAAAAAGGUAUGAUAGAAUUGGCUUUAAUGUUUUUACAUCUAGAGUUAUUCUUUUAGCUCCUGAUGGGAGAAAAAAGCAU